rnacentral:rRNA from 1 species
CGGUGAAAUUAUAGUACCUGUGAAGAUGCAGGUUACCCGCGACAGGACGGAAAGACCCCGUGGAGCUUUACUGCAACCUGAUAUGGAAUGUUUGUACCGCUUGUACAGGAUAGGUAGGAGCCGAAGAGACGUGUGCGCUAGCAUACGAGGAGGCAAUGGUGGGAUACUACCCUGGCUGUAUGACCAUUCUAACCCGCCACGCUAAGCGCGUGGGGAGACAGUGUCAGGUGGGCAGUUUGACUGGGGCGGUCGCCUCCUAAAGAGUAACGGAGGCGCCCAAAGGUUCCCUCAGAAUGGAUGGAAAUCAUUCGCAGAGUGUAAAGGCACAAGGGAGCUUGACUGCGAGACUGACAAGUCGAGCAGGGACGAAAGUCGGGCUUAGUGAUCCGGUGGUUCCGCAUGGAAGGGCCAUCGCUCAACGGAUAAAAGCUACCCCGGGGAUAACAGGCUUAUCUCCCCCAAGAGUCCACAUCGACUGGGAGGUUUGGCACCUCGAUGUCGGCUCGUCGCAUCCUGGGGCUGUAGUCGGUCCCAAGGG